rfam:Populus trichocarpa scaffold_1_contig_733, whole genome shotgun sequence.
UAAUCUGUUUGAGGCAGAUCUUCAUUUAGUUAUGGUAGAUUCACACAUGACUGCUCAAAAUCACCUACUACUGUAUGAACAAUAAUUUUCUAAGAUUUUGAUUGGAGU